CAGAAAUGUGGCUGAAGGGAGAUACUGACUUAGAAAUACAGGUGAACUCAUGAAAGAAGCUCAUGAAAUACAUUAAUAUGCCUUUUUCAGAAUAUAUUUCACCAAUUUUAAGAAGUCCCUGACAUCAAAACAUGGCUUGUUUUGUUCCUGGACUCUUCAGUGAUGAUGAGCAGAGUCUGAGUGAACCUGCUGUCAGACAAUCACUAUUGCACACCAAGUAAGCAAAACAACAUUUUUGAUUUCAUUUUAUUUUAUUUCUGCAAACAACUUGCACCACUUGCAAUUGGUUUUCCAGCCCAAAACCUCAUCAAAAACUGAAUGCAACGGUUUUUGUCUAUGAUUAUUUUGUCAAAACAUCUUUUGUCUAUGGUAACUCUAAUCUACAUUAACUAUUUAAUUAGUAUCCAGUUAUUUAUAUUAAAUUUGUGGAGUUAACAACUACUUCUGAACCAAUUAAAUAAUAAACAUAAACAUUUUUGAGUCAAUUGGCCUCAUACAUUUCCCUUAUGAAAGAGGUCACUGCAAGCUAAUCCUUUUUGCCUCCCUUUAAUUCGAAUACAUCCAUGAACAGGCAGUUCUGAAAAGUGCUUUGAAUAUAGGGGAAAUAUGAUCUAGCCUACAACACGAGGACUUAUUGCCUUAUCCGAUCAUUGAAAAGGCCUAGGCUACUGAAUUUGUUCAAAUAUAUGUUCUGUUUAACUUAAAUGCUAUAUUUGUUUUGCAUUGUGAUUUUAUCUUCUGUUUUAGAUGCUCUUACUCAGCAUAUGGGGACAGCUACCAUCACCCAAUUUUCACCCAAAAGUGGCUGCGCUAUGCGCCAGACCGGGCAGGAGGGACUGGACGACAACUUAUGCAGGCAUCAGAUGACAAUGAAGUGUAAAUAAAGAGUAGAGAGGCUAAUAAACAGGAAUUUGAUUUUAAAUAGUGUGGUGUGUUCUGUGUUUUAUACAAGAUUUUAAAUGUUCCAUUAAUUUUUAACAUCCUGGCUGUAGAUAAAGCAGGCUAUUUAAUUUAUGGCAUUACAUUUAAAAUUAACAUUU